rnacentral:misc_RNA from 1 species
GCAGAAGGAUCAUCAGUGAAGAUUUGGGCAGGCCAUACGGACGCCAAAAAGUGUCCCUGGCCGCCUACACCCACUAUACAUCCACAAACCCGUGUGCACUGUCUUGGAGAAAGGCUUCAGAGAAGUUUUUUGUGGCCUCUCUUGGGGUCUUUCUUCGCUACAAACUCGAAUGGUUAGUAUGAACGUGGAACUUGGUUGGACCGUCACUGGCCAACAAACUAUACACAACUUUCGACAACGGAUCUCUUGGUUCUCCCA